CAGCAGCCGCGGGAAUACGUAGGGCGCAAGCGUUAUCCGGAAUUAUUGGGCGUAAAGAGCUCGUAGGCGGUUUGUCGCGUCUGCCGUGAAAGUCCGGGGCUCAACCCCGGAUCUGCGGUGGGUACGGGCAGACUAGAGUGAUGUAGGGGAGACUGGAAUUCCUGGUGUAGCGGUGAAAUGCGCAGAUAUCAGGAGGAACACCGAUGGCGAAGGCAGGUCUCUGGGCAUUAACUGACGCUGAGGAGCGAAAGCAUGGGGAGCGAACAGGAUUAGAUACCCCAGUAGUCCCUGUCUCUUAUAC
rnacentral:rRNA from 1 species